rnacentral:lncRNA from 1 species
GCCCGAGACAACCAUCAGGAUCGUAAACGUGCAACAGCUUUAUACCAGGUUCUACCUGCCAGGUGGCUCUCCAGGUGUGUCCUGUGAUUCCCCACGCUCGCCUGCAGGCUGCACUGUUGCCGUGGUUAUCUCCCAGGCUACCACAGCAGGCAAUUCAAACAGGUUGUGUCAACACUGCAGGUAGACACUGAAUCCGCACCAGCCAAGGCUGAAAACGGUUGCAGCCGUGAGAACUGUGGACUCUGAGAAGCAAGGAAAGGAGCCCACUCAGAGCUCCAAGAGUGCGCAUGCGUGGAGGACCACCUACUGAAGCAUGGCUAUCUUUCACGGACACAUUCCUGAAGAAAACAGAUGCUGGUGCCAGGCCAAGGAAAGGACCAGGAACGAGGUUCUCCACACAUCCUCCAUCCGUGCGUUCCAGGGCUCGUGGGUUUGCUUCAGCCAAAACCUCGAACGAGCCACAUCCUUGUGUUCUUGACUGUGAUGAGGUCUUUUAUUGCAUUUAUAAAUGUUCCCCCUGGGGCUAUUACUCAAAAGGGUUCAUCUAAUGAAUAAGACAACUAACAAUUAUUCUGUUUCAGAUUGCGAGCUAUGUGUAACUUCUCCGAGGGGUCAAACGUGUUAUGUUUGCUCAACAUUGCCCCAGCCUUCUGACACGUGUGAUUACAGAGCAGGAGUGCAGGUGAAGUCAGGACACGGAAAGCGCUGCAUACACAGGCCCCCUCUCAUGGAGGAGGACUGCUUUCUGAAAGCAGGGGCGGCUAAGCAUGUUUCAUCAUACAUGGGUGCCUCGGAACCCAGUUACUGUAAGC